UGAGGAAUAUUGGACAAUGGGCGCAAGCCUGAUCCAGCCAUGCCGCGUGCAGGAUGACGGUCCUAUGGAUUGUAAACUGCUUUUAUACGAGAAGAAACACUCCUUCGUGAAGGAGCUUGACGGUAUCGUAAGAAUAAGGAUCGGCUAACUCCGUGCCAGCAGCCGCGGUAAUACGGAGGAUCCAAGCGUUAUCCGGAAUCAUUGGGUUUAAAGGGUCCGUAGGCGGUUUAGUAAGUCAGUGGUGAAAGCCCAUCGCUCAACGGUGGAACGGCCAUUGAUACUGCUAGACUUGAAUUAUUAGGAAGUAACUAGAAUAUGUAGUGUAGCGGUGAAAUGCUUAGAGAUUACAUGGAAUACCAAUUGCGAAGGCAGGUUACUACUAAUAUAUUGACGCUGAUGGACGAAAGCGUGGGUAGCGAACAGGAUUAGAUACCCUGGUAGUCCACGCCGUAAACGAUGGAUACUAGCUGUUGGGAGCAAUCUCAGUGGCUAAGCGAAAGUGAUAAGUAUCCCACCUGGGGAGUACGAACGCAAGUUUG
rnacentral:rRNA from 1 species